AGAGUUUGAUCCUGGCUCAGAUUGAACGCUGGCGGCAUGCCUUACACAUGCAAGUCGAACGGGCUUUGGGGCUUGCUCCAAAGUUAGUGGCGAACGGGUGAGUAAUAUAUCGGAACGUACCCUUGAGUGGGGGGAUAACAUAGCGAAAGUUAUGCUAAUACCGCAUACGAUCUAAGGAUGAAAGUGGGGGACCGCAAGGC
rnacentral:rRNA from 1 species